GCAACCAUGUUUUCAAUACUGCCAUUUAUAUGUAUGGUUUAGUUGAAGCAUGUUGUCCUUCAUUAAAUUUAAUGGUUUUAAUGGAAAUUAGCGAUUUAAAAUGUAUUUUUGUAACUGUUUCUAAUAUAAUAUCAGUUUUUAGUAAUAAAUUCACAUUCAUGGAUGUUGGAGCUCAUAACAGAAGUUUUAAAUAAGUAAGAAAUAAACUCAUAUUGUUGAAACCAUUUGCUAUUUUAUGCGAACUUAUAUAAUUGUUCCUAGACAUUUUUACGUAAAACGUACAAAAAUUAUAGAAUAUUUGCUAAAAUUUAAUUCACGUGUUGUAAACGAAUCACACAGAAGUGUAUUAUGUUGACGGAAGUCUACACGAUCGACCAAUCACGCUCCCAUUACUCUUUACGUCAUUUGACAGGUAGCGUAACUAGGAAGUAAACAUCUAACGCUAUAAUGGCAAGAAAGUCGUCCAAGUUAAGCCCCUACUCAAAUAUGUUACUAAAUUUCGUUUUAUAUAGUAUUUUUUAUGAAUUCGCCUUCGCCUUUCCGUCAUAUCCCGAAUCCAGACAGUCAGAAAGUUUGGAGAAACCCACCUCAACACCAAACAAUCAACAGGUUCUAAGUCUGCAUUUAGGAGUUAUCGCGUCUGUUGUGAUCGUUAUUGUUGCUGCAGUAGCAGCUGCUGUAUUCAUCAUACGGAGUUACUGCUGUCUGCAGAGUAAUGUAACAUAUAGAUAUUCAGAGCUGCGACAAAUGGAAGCGGAAAAUGCAGCCAGAGAAGAGGACGAUGGUUCAGAUGAGGUUAGUAUGUGUGGCAUUUUUUAAUUUUAGUAAUAAUAGCCUUUAAAAAUAUAUAUGCUUAAUUAUUUUUUAUUCUCAUUUUGGGUUUUCUUUCUACAGGACCUUUUGGAGUGAAUCGUGCAGCACAAUUUAUCCCUGACGUUUCUCUUCCUUUUUUAAUCCUGUGACAUUAUAUGGCCAAAAGCAUCACAUGGGUCAUUUAAAAACCACCAAGAGUCCCUGAAAUAUUUAUCUCUGUUCCACCAUUUUUCAGCACGGAUAUGUCCACCAACCAGUUAAAAUUAGCUGGUUAAAUCUGGCAGGAUUCAAAGGCUAAAAUCUCCUACGUGAAAGAGCUGUGGGGAAGCGGUUCAGAAAUACUAAAAGAUGCUCAUUGGAGAUAAAAGUUACUAUGAUUUAUUUGCAGGCAAAUAACUUAUGAAACUAGCUGUUAUGGUUGUCGGUUGUGGUGACCAUUGCUUAAAACUUGGUCAAUACUUGGAACUACUUUUUAAAGAAGAACUUGUUUAGUAUUUUCUUGAAUUUCUCAAUGCAAGGUACGUUGUACCAAAGUCGGUUGAAAUGAUUGUUCCUCUAUUUAUUGUGCCUGACCUUUUCUUUUAAAAAACAGCUUUAUGAUCUCAGGGUUGUUCCCACUGGAUACUGUGAGCAGUGCCACCAAUACCAGAAGCACAUCUGAAAUAGCAUUUGACUGUAAACAAGUCUUAUCCACUGUAAUGAUGCUGCAGACUUUGCAUUUCAGUGCCUUACUGAAAUCUGUUACUGUAUAAUUUAACUCUUGUGGUAUUUUGAACAAUGAUAUGCACUCAUAUGCCAGUAUUGAUAUUUAUAGUGGCAGUGUUUGACUUCACCUCUAUUUUAAGAUGACAAUGUUGAUACAGAAUUAUUAUGUGCAGUCCAGAGCUCCACAACAGUGUUUUUAUGAGCUCAGUCCAUGAUGGGAAGUAUUUUUGAUGGAUGCUAAUUGAAUUCUGUAUCUUUAGAUUUUCAUAUGUUUGCACCUUCUUUUCUGAGACUGAACUACUGACUACUUAAAAAAAAUAGUUAAUUUAACUGAGAAGGAAUAAAAUUAUGUACAUGAAUAUUCCUUGUAUGUUU
ensembl:lncRNA